rnacentral:rRNA from 1 species
GCAUAUCAAUAAGCGGAGGAAAAGAAACUAACUAGGAUUCCCCCAGUAACUGCGAGUGAAGAGGGAAGAGCUCAUCAUUGGAAUCUGGCAGUGUUGCACUGUCCGAGUUGUAGAUGAGGAGUAGUCCGUCUGGACUGCAUGGCGUCCAAGUACAAUAGGCCGUCAGUGGGACAUCAUAGAGGGUGACAAUCCCGUCCUUGACGCCAAUGUGCAAGUCUAUUACGAUGGCUAUCUCAGAGAGUCGAGCAGUUUGGGAUUUGCUGCUUAAACAUGGGAGGUAGAUUCCUUCUAAAGCUAAAUACAGGCGAGAGACCGAUAGAGAACAAGUACCGCAAGGGAAAGAUGAAAUAGCACUCUGUGAAGGGAGUCAAAAGGCGUGAAAUUGUUGCGAGAGAAGCGAUUCAAGUCAGCGUAGCUAGGCCCAUCAAGCGUCUUCGCUUUGGACUAGCUUUGCCAGCGGUCUUGUCCCUUGAAGAGACUUGACUUGUAAUAUGUCCAGCCUGGCGUGCACAGGCAGCCCCUUCUGGGGGCCAGUGGCAUGGCUGGUGGAAUGGCUUGCAAUCGACCCGUCUUGAAACACGGACCAAGGAGUCUAACAUGUAUGCGAGUAUAAGGGUGGCAAACCCGUAUGCGCAAUGAAAGUGAUUUUCGGUGAUUGAGAAUGGCCUGAUGACCAGACAAGCAAUAUAUGUCCCUCGUACGGCCAUUGCCCAAGUUCCGUGGUAGAUCCCACGAACAUGGAGUUGGAGCAUACAUGCUAGGACCCGAAAGAUGGUGAACUAUGCCUGGACAAAGCGAAGCCAAAGGAAACUCUGGUGGAGGCUUGUAGCGAUUCUGACGUGCAAAUCGAUCGUCUGAUCUGGGUAUAGGGGCGAAAGACUAAUCGAACCAUCUCAUAGCUGGUUCCUGCCGAAGUUUCCCUCAGGAU